GAGUGCUGGCUUUGGCCACACAUGGACUCAAGUUGGAACGAGACACACAAAAUUAACACGGGCCCUGUGCUGGGAUGACAAACAAAUUCAUGAAGUGAUCAAAAUGUUA